UGGGGAAUAUUGCACAAUGGGCGAAGCCUGAUGCAGCCAUGCCGCGUGUGUGAAGAAGGCCUUCGGGUUGUAAAGCACUUUCAGCGGGGAGGAAGGCGUUAAGGUUAAUAACCUUGGCGAUUGACGUUACCCGCAGAAGAAGCAACGGCUAACUCCGUGCCAGCAGCCGCGGUAAUACGGAGGGUGCAAGCGUUAAUCGGAAUUACUGGGCGUAAAGCGCACGCAGGCGGUCUGUCAAGUCGGAUGUGAAAUCCCCGGGCUCAACCUGGGAACUGCAUUCGAAACUGGCAGGCUAGAGUCGUGUAGAGGGGGGUAGAAUUCCAGGUGUAGCGGUGAAAUGCGUAGAGAUCUGGAGGAAUACCGGUGGCGAAGGCGGCCCCCUGGACAAAGACUGACGCUCAGGUGCGAAAGCGUGGGGAGCAAACAGG
rnacentral:rRNA from 1 species